GUGCGGUUGGCGCAGUGGUUAGCGCGUUCGCUCCCAAAGCGAAAGGCCCCGGGUUCGAAUCCCGGACCGCNNN
rnacentral:tRNA from 1 species